GACCAACCUCGCCAUGAACUUUGAUUAUGAACGUUGGGGUUAUUUGCUUCAAACAAGAAUGGCUUUCACCUGCAAACUUACAACAAUAUGCUCAGAAAAUUCAUGAUCAUGGUGCACCUUUGCAAAAUUGUUGGGGAUUUAUAUAUGGAACGGUGUGGAGAAUUUGUGCAUGUAAGACUUUUUCAAAUGGCUCACUGGAUCACCUAGAGUUUCCACCCCUUGGUUUGCCCAAAAAAUUCAGGGCUCAAUUGCUCAAAUCAUGGAUGUGAGGAAAAUUUCAAAAGAAGCUGUUAAAGAUUCUUAUGGAUUUGGUCAACUAUAAAGAAAAUUAAAAAGAAUGUCUGGCAAGAUACGUACAACCCAAAUUAAAUGAUUUCUAAUGCAAAUGUUAUUGUUAAAGCUCUAUUUUUUUAUUAUAAUUUUAACAUUAGUUUAGGCAUCCAGUAAAUUUGGUCUUGCUAUUAAAUUUGUUUUGUGUUCACUAACUGUCUUAACAAGAUUUCUGAAGAUAUAAAUAACCAUGUAUAACGCACUGAAUCUUACACAACAUGACUGAACUUCAAGGCUGGCUAUAUUGCUGGAUAUUUUUUGAAUGCAUUGUUUAAUUCUGUAGGUUCACUAAAGUUUGAAAAGCAAUGGUCAAGUCACAGAUUCAUAUUUUUAUUUCAUCUUAUUUGAGUUUAUGCAAUAUCUUGUAAGCUUUUGAAAUAUUGAAAAAGAUCAGAGGUUUUUCUGCAUUUA